ACAUUCAGCAAGCAUAGAACAGAACUGCUCCCUAACUUUGCAGCACUUCUGGAGGUCACUUUUCAUUUCUUCCUAUCAAAAGGCAGGCACUUGUUUCUAAUAAGUUAACAACUCUCCAGAGAAACGUGGGUGGCUGGUAUUUCAUUGUUUCAUAAAUAUUUUUAUAUUGUAACACCAUUCAACCUAAAACAGAUCUCAAGAGGAGAAAAAUCACUACUAGGAUUACGUUCAACCGAGUGUUUCUGCUGACUCCCGAAAAUUUUCCACUUGAAUGUGCAAUUAACCAGCAGCGGCGGCAGCGGCAGCAGCUCUGGAGAAGGACAAGCAGCAGCGAAAAAGGAUAUUCCUUCUUUCAUCUUUUAGAGGAAAACGAAGGGGGGGAAGGAAAGCAGACCUCGGGGCAGCGCACCGAGCAGAGCUCCGCGCCAGGCCGGGCCGCUCGGCAGCCCGCACCGCCGGGGGAUGGCUCCUGAGGGCUGCGAGCGGCGGCGCCGAGCCCGGGGCUGCUCGCAACUUCUUGCUUCCCCGUGGAAAAAAAUGUGAAAAAUGCCAAGGA